GACGAACGCUGGCGGCGUGCUUAACACAUGCAAGUCGAACGGAAAGGCCCUGCUUUUGUGGGGUGCUCGAGUGGCGAACGGGUGAGUAACACGUGAGUAACCUGCCCUUGACUUUGGGAUAACUUCAGGAAACUGGGGCUAAUACCGGAUAGGAGCUCCUGCUGCAUGGUGGGGGUUGGAAAGUUUCGGCGGUUGGGGAUGGACUCGCGGCUUAUCAGCUUGUUGGUGGGGUAGUGGCUUACCAAGGCUUUGACGGGUAGCCGGCCUGAGAGGGUGACCGGCCACAUUGGGACUGAGAUACGGCCCAGACUCCUACGGGAGGCAGAAGUGGGGAAUAUUGCACAAUGGGCGGAAGCCUGAUGCAGCAACGCCGCGUACGGGAUGACGGCCUUCGGGUUGUAAACCGCUUUCGCCUGUGACGAAGCGUGAGUGACGGUAAUGGGUAAAGAAGCACCGGCUAACUACGUG
rnacentral:rRNA from 1 species